GUCCCCAUACCCCGUCCGGUAUGGGCGCCAAAACCAUGAACCUCAAUACCCCGUCCGGUAUGAGGGUGAAACGGGCCGUCCCCAUACCCCGUCCGAUAUGGGCGCCAAAACCAUAAACCUCAAUACCCCGUCCGGUAUGAGGGUGAAACGGGCCGUCCCCAUACCCCGUCCGGUAUGGGCGCCAAAACCAUAAGAUCUCCAUACCCCGUCCGGCAUGUGAGACCACAAUCUCGGUA
rnacentral:lncRNA from 1 species